UAAAGUUUGAAACUUAAUAUCUGCUGCGUCAGUGACAAGUCAAAACAAGGAAUCUUGGCAAGAACGCGUUUGGUUCUAUUUGAAUUGAGCCUUCUCGGUUACCGUAGGCACGCCAGUUCACCGUGCAGCAAGCUCUACCGGUGAGUACUAACUGUUUUGAAUAAGUAUUGCAAACAAUUUAAUGCUCUCUAUUUUCCGUUUACAUGUAAAUAUGCAGGAGCAUCAUUAUGAGACGAGCUCCUCGAGUUCGUUUGUUGCUCGCUAGCUAGCUAUCGUAGAACAAUAUCAACAAAGGUGGCUUGGCUUGUCAGCGACCCCGCCCACAACUGGCACUCGGCUGUCGAUCAAACGUUAAUCAAGGAAAAAUCGUUUGUCCUGCACGUUGUUUUGUGUUUUCCACGCAAAAGAUGAUGGAGGCUCCACGUCGGCUGCUGAUCGUCUACUUGGACAUAUUUUCGAAAGAGUAAACAUUUAUAAAACAGAUGUUGGAUGGUCGUCUGCUCGGUGCCGAGUGGUGGGCCGGUGGGACGAGUGGUGGGCCGGUGGGACGAGUGGGACCAGUGAUGAGUCUGUCCCUGGACCUAAGACAAAAACAUCUGCAAGUCAAAAGUCAAGUCAACAUUUGGUGCAGAAAAAGGUUUUGGGUAUGAAACUUACCAGUGUGAAAGAUGUUCAUAACACCAAGUGUUGAGAGCUGCAUGACCAGGAAGCUGAACUUGUUCCUUGCAACCUGUCAGAA